UACGUAGGGGGCUAGCGUUGUCCGGAAUCAUUGGGCGUAAAGCGCGUGUAGGCGGUCCGGUAAGUCCGCUGUGAAAGUCGGGGGCUCAACCCUCGGAUGCCGGUGGAUACUGCCGGGCUCGAGUCCGGAAGAGGAGUGUGGAAUUCCUGGUGUAGCGGUGAAAUGCGCAGAUAUCAGGAGGAACACCAAUGGCGAAGGCAGCACUCUGGGACGUGACUGACGCUGAGACGCGAAAGCCAGGGGAGCAAACGGGG
rnacentral:rRNA from 1 species